rnacentral:sRNA from 1 species
UCAUACAAAAUUCCUUGCUAAAAUUGUUAAUCCUUUUAAAUUAGUAAAAGCGGACUGAGUUGUGUAUCAAAAAUCAGGACAUUUUAAUUUAAAAUCAAAAGAUAGCGGUUGGAGUGCUAGUUUCGGUUUAUCCACACUUACGCCAAGUCUCUGCCUUAUUGAAAACCCGAAGAUCCGGAUAGAGAGAUCCGGCAUUA